rnacentral:rRNA from 1 species
UACAGAGGUGGCGAGCGUUACUCGGAUUUAUUGGGUGUAAAGGGCAGGUAGGCGUCCUGUCAAGUUAGGAGUGAAAUCCUGCAGCUCAACUGCAGAACUGCUUCUAAAACUGAUAGGAUUGAGACUGGAAGAGGAAAGCGGAAUUCUCGGUGUAAGAGUGAAAUCUGUAGAUAUCGAGAGGAACACCAGUGGCGAAGGCGGCUUUCUGGUCCAGUACUGACGCUAAGCUGCGAAAGCUAGGGGAGCAAACAGG